rnacentral:tRNA from 1 species
GCACUCUUAGCUUAGUUGGUAAAGCAAUCGACUUUUAAUCGAUAGACGGUGAGUUCGAACCUCACAGAGUGUA